rnacentral:rRNA from 1 species
GAUGAACGCUGGCGGCGUGCUUAACACAUGCAAGUCGAGCGAGAAAAGUUCUUCGGAGCUUUUCUAGCGGCGGACGGGUGAGUAACACGUGGGCAACCUGCCUCAUAGAGGGGAAUAGCCUUCCGAAAGGAAGAUUGAUACCGCAUAACAUUGUUGAAAGGCAUCUUUUAACAAUCAAAGGAGCAAUCCGCUAUGAGAUGGGCCCGCGGCGCAUUAGCUAGUUGGUGAGGUAACGGCUCACCAAGGCGACGAUGCGUAGCCGACCUGAGAGGGUGAUCGGCCACAUUGGAACUGAGACACGGUCCAGACUCCUACGGGAGGCAGCAGUGGGGAAUAUUGCACAAUGGGGGAAACCCUGAUGCAGCAACGCCGCGUGAGUGAUGAAGGUCUUCGGAUUGUAAAACUCUGUCUUUAGGGACGAUAAUGACGGUACCUAAGGAGGAAGCCACGGCUAACUACGUGCCAGCAGCCGCCGCAGUAA